GAUGAACGCUGGCGGCGUGCCUAACACAUGCAAGUCGAACGGAGUCGUUUUGGAAAUCUCUUCGGAGAUGGAAUUCUCGACUUAGUGGCGGACGGGUGAGUAACGCGUGAGCAAUCUGCCUUUAAGAGGGGGAUAACAGUCGGAAACGGCUGCUAAUACCGCAUAAAGCAUUAAAUUCGCAUGUUUUUGAUGCCAAAGGAGCAAUCCGCUUUUAGAUGAGCUCGCGUCUGAUUAGCCAGUUGGCGGGGUAACGGCCCACCAAGGCGACGAUCAGUAGCCGGACUGAGAGGUUGAACGGCCACAUUGGGACUGAGACACGGCCCAGACUCCUACGGGAGGCAGCAGUGGGGAAUAUUGCGCAAUGGGGGAAACCCUGACGCAGCAACGCCGCGUGAUUGAAGAAGGCCUUCGGGUUGUAAAGAUCUUUAAUCAGGGACGAAACAAAUGACGGUACCUGAAGAAUAAGCUCCGGCUAACUACGUG
rnacentral:rRNA from 1 species